CUCAACGCCCUUGCGCGCUGUUCCGUGGGUGAGAUAGGUGCAUAAGCGACGUUGAUUGGUGGAAAGUCGUUGUCACUCUUCUCACAAAUUGGGGUGUAGGUAUAGGGCAUAAGGUUCUUGGUGUCUCAUGCUCAAGGAUGAGUGAAGGGGAACAAGAUGAGGCUUCUUCAAUUGGUCUUGCUGGACUGGCUGAGAAAAUUCAGGCGGUAUCAGCGCUAGUGGGGCGGCGGCGGCAGCAGGUGGCGCUUCGGGACGGCCUGAUCCGCGAGGCGGUCGCCUCGCUGCUGCGCCCGCUAUCGCUGGACGAGGUCGGCUCCCUCGGCCAGCGGCCGGAGGGCGCCGUACCC